rnacentral:rRNA from 1 species
AUGAACGCUGGCGGCGUGCUUAACACCUGCAAGUCGAACGAUGAAGCCCAGCUUGCUGGGUGGAUUAGUGGCGAACGGGUGAGUAACACGUGAGUAACCUGCCCUUGACUCUGGGAUAAGCCUGGGAAACUGGGUCUAAUACUGGAUAUGACUUCUCAUCGCAUGGUGGGGAGUGGAAAGAUUUAUUGGUCUUGGAUGGACUCGCGGCCUAUCAGCUUGUUGGUGAGGUAAUGGCUCACCAAGGCGACGACGGGUAGCCGGCCUGAGAGGGUGACCGGCCACACUGGGACUGAGACACGGCCCAGACUCCUACGGGAGGCAGCAGUGGGGAAUAUUGCACAAUGGGCGCAAGCCUGAUGCAGCGACGCCGCGUGAGGGAUGACGGCCUUCGGGUUGUAAACCUCUUUCAGUAGGGAAGAAGCGAGAGUGACGGUACCUGCAGAAGAAGCGCCGGCUAACUACGUG